rnacentral:rRNA from 1 species
CAGUCGCCACGGUAAUACGAAGGUCCCGAGCGUUGUUCGGAAUCACUGGGCGUAAAGGGAGCGUAGGCGGCGUGGUAAGUCAGAUGUGAAAUCCCGGGGCUCAACCCCGGAACUGCAUCCGAUACUGCCGUGCUAGAGGAUUGGAGAGGUAGCUGGAAUUCUUGGUGUAGCAGUGAAAUGCGUGGAGAUCAAGAGGAACACUCGUGGCGAAAGCGAGCUACUGGACAAUAUCUGACGCUGAGGCUCGAAGGCCAGGGUAGCGAAAGGGAUUAGAUACCCCGGUAGUCCCUGUCUCUUAUAC